ACGCUGGCGGCAGGCCUAACACAUGCAAGUCGAGCGGUAGAGAGAAGCUUGCUUCUCUUGAGAGCGGCGGGCGGGUGAGUAAUGCCUAGGAAUCUGCCUGGUAGUGGGGGAUAACGUUCGGAAACGGACGCUAAUACCGCAUACGUCCUACGGGAGAAAGCAGGGGACCUUCGGGCCUUGCGCUAUCAGAUGAGCCUAGGUCGGAUUAGCUAGUUGGUGAGGUAAUGGCUCACCAAGGCGACGAUCCGUAACUGGUCUGAGAGGAUGAUCAGUCACACUGGAACUGAGACACGGUCCAGACUCCUACGGGAGGCAGCAGUGGGGAAUAUUGGACAAUGGGCGAAAGCCUGAUCCAGCCAUGCCGCGUGUGUGAAGAAGGUCUUCGGAUUGUAAAGCACUUUAAGUUGGGAGGAAGGGCAGUUACCUAAUACGUGAUUGUUUUGACGUUACCGACAGAAUAAGCACCGGCUAACUCUGUGCCAGCAGCCGCGGUAAUACAGAGGGUGCAAGCGUUAAUCGGAAUUACUGGGCGUAAAGCGCGCGUAGGUGGUUAGUUAAGUUGGAUGUGAAAUCCCCGGGCUCAACCUGGGAACUGCAUUCAAAACUGACUGACUAGAGUAUGGUAGAGGGUGGUGGAAUUUCCUGUGUAGCGGUGAAAUGCGUAGAUAUAGGAAGGAACACCAGUGGCGAAGGCGACCACCUGGACUGAUACUGACACUGAGGUGCGAAAGCGUGGGGAGCAAAC
rnacentral:rRNA from 1 species